GACGAACGCUGGCGGCGUGCCUAACACAUGCAAGUCGAACGGGAGCACCCGGUACUUGUACUGGUCAAUCGAGGGGCGCACGGGUGAGUAACAUGUGGGUAACCUGCCCAUCAGAGGGGGAUAACAUCCGGAAACGGUUGCCUAAACCGCAUAAGUCUUCGAAGCGUAGGGUUUGAAGGGGAAAAGAGGCGCACGCGUCUGGUGACGGAUGGACUCGCGGUGCAUUAGCUAGUUGGUGAGGCAACGGCUCAGCAAGGCAGCGAUGCAUAGCCGACGUGAGAGGGUGAUCGGCCACAUUGGAACUGAGACACGGCCCAGACUCCUACGGGAGGCAGCAGUAGGGAAUCUUCGGCAAUGGAGGCAAGUCUGACGCAGCAACGCCGCGUGGGUGAAGAAGGUGUUCGGAUCGUAAAGCUCUGUUGUUAGGGAAGAACAAGUGCUAGAGUAACUGUUGGCGCCUUGACGGUAUCUAACCAAAAAGCAACGGCUAACUACGUG
rnacentral:rRNA from 1 species